rnacentral:rRNA from 1 species
GUCUACAGCCAUACCACCCUGAAUGGGCCUGAUCUCAUCUGAUCUCAGAAACUAAGCAGGAUCAGGUCUGGUUAGUACUUGGAUGGAAGAAUAAACACUAAAGAAUACAGCUGAAAUCC